AUUUGGGGUCCUUUGGUUCUGCAACGUCAGGGAUAAGCAUAACCAGCAUCAGCCACCAAAGUUAAAGGAAUCUGGUUACCAGUAACACUGAAACAACUCAAUUCAUUAAACCGGACAGUAAUGAGAAGCGAACGUGAGCAAAAAAUGUUUUAAAAAAUUCACCAAUCGAAUGUAGUGCUUUAAAAUAUGGGGUAUUUAUGAAGCUGCUGAGGGCGACAGAGCGUGUGAACGUUGAUCAUGUCGGACGCAGCUAUUGAGGAAGUUUCAGUUUUAUCGUCCAUUUACUGCAGAGACGGAGAGUUCCAAAUUGUUCAACAGUCUGCACAGGAUGGGCUGGUGGUCCAGCUCAACUGCACUGGUGGGAGAGGCGGGAAGCUGAAUGUGAGUGCAGUGUUCCAUCUAGACCCCAGCUACCCUUCCUGUCCUCCUCAUAUUUCUAUCUCCACCACCGGCCUGUCUAAGAUUCAGUGUCACAACAUCAGGCAGAAGCUGAUGACUCGAGCUGCAGAACUUCCCCCAGAACCAAUGCUGCUCCAGCUGGUGGAAUACUUGCAGCAGGAAUGUGUGGAACAGACAGAGGACCAGACAGAAGAACAGGACGGAACAGGGGAAGAGAAAAACAACCAGCAGGAAUGGACAGCGGUUCUGCUGCUUGACCACAUCAGAUCUCGAAACCGAUAUAUCGGACUCCUGGAGCGCUGGAGCCAGCAGCUGCAGCUCACCUGUAGACUUUUACUAGGACGCAAUCCAUUGAUUAUUCUGCUGGGGGAGAGACCCAACAUCAAGGAGUUUUGUCACCAUUUAAAGACUGUUAAGGUGGAUGUGGACUCUUCAGGUAAGAAAUGCAAAGAGAGGAUGAUGAAGGUUCUUGCUGAGACCCCAUAUUCCUCCCUCUGUCAACAUAGUCUGCAGGGAUUCAUAGUGAAGGACUACAAGUCAUUAUCAGAGCUGACUGCUGUCUUUGAGGAGCUGAACCUGGCUGAGCUUUACCAACAGAUGCUGCCUACAUUAAGCGGUUAGGAGAAGAACUGUCAUAUCUGCUUCUUAUGUCUAUUUAUAUUGGAUUCACAGACCUACAUCUAAUAUUUGCUUUUUAUUUGAGCUGUUCAUUUUAUAUCAAUAAGUUUGUAUUGCUUUAAACGUUUGUCCUACCUUUUGUCCUGCUAAUCUAGUCUUUGUUACAUUCAAAGACAUUAUCAUUAAACGGGAAUUAGAACAUCCCUCCUCUUCAAACCUCUAUCAUUUUGAAUGUGUUCUGUCUGAUACUGUAGAAGUCAGAAUUGUUGUUUGAGUGUUACUGAAAGGCCCAAUAGAUUUACCUUCACAAGUGGAGUUUUAUAUAAUUAUAAAAAAGUUGAUUAGAAAUAGCUUUGAGCUCAUUUCAAAUGCAAUGGACAUGAAAAGAAAGAAAUGGUCCUUGGUGGGUUACAAGUCUGGGUUUGGUGAUUGCCAAGAGAAUGGUACUUGUCUGACUGCAUUGUGCCAAGUGUAAAGUUUAGUGGAGAGAGGAUUAUGGUCUAUGGUUGUUUUUUAGGAACUUGGCUUGGCCCCUUAGUUCCAGUGAAAGGAACUCUGAAUGCUUCAGCAUACCAAGACAUUUUGGACAAUUCCAUGCUCCCAACUUUGUGGUAACAGUUUGGAGCUGGCCCCUUCCUCUUCCAACAUGACUGUGCACCACAGGACAAAGCAAGAUCCAUAAAGACAUGGAUGGAGAGUCUGGUGUGGAUGAACUUGACUGUCCUGCACAGAGUCCUGACCUCAACCCAAUAGAACACCUUUGGGAUUAAUUACAGUGGAGACUGAGAGCCAGGCCUUCUCGUCCAACAUCAGUAUGUGACCUCACAAAUGCACUUCUGGAAGAAGGGUCAAAAAUCCCCAUAGACUCCUAAACCUUAUUCACAGCCUUCCCAGAAGAGUUGAAGCUGUUUUAGCUGGAGAGGGUGGGCCAACGUCAUGUUGAACCAUAUGGAUUAGGAAUGGGAUGUCACUUAAACUCAUAUGUGAGUCAAGACAGGUGAGCCAAUACUUUUGGCAAUAUAGUGUAUCUGUCCUUAUCUGUCCCAUAAAGAUAUUAUAUCUAUGUUAUUAAGAUCUAAUGUGAAAACUGCUGUUAUGUGGUGCAGGGUGGCUGUUGGUGAACCAUGUGCACUGUGUGAAAAGGCUAUACUCCUGAACUCAGCUGUAUGUCUCUAUCCUAUUUCAUAUGAACUUUCUGUUUAAGUAAGACCAGUAGUGCCAAAAAAUCUUUUUUAGAAAGAGUUCUGUCAUACUUCACAUAUUCCUUUUAUCUUUUUGCUUGAAUUGUUUUCUUUUCCUUUUAUGUCUAUUUUUUUGUUUGUAUUUUUUUCCCAAAACUUUCUUGUUAAAGCUGUUUUUAUGUUGAUGCACUGCUGGUGGAAAUUUAAUUUCCCAGUUGAAACUUCAUUAGGGAUUAAUCUAAAUUGUUUCGCCCAGGAAUGAUUAGGGGAAGUUGAGCCAGUGGUGGAGUCAUUUUAUGUGUCUGGUGUUAUUACAAUUUGUCAGCAGUAGAGGGAGUAGUAAUGCUAUUUGUCACUGUCUCCAGAUCCAUCUAAUCGUGGUUCAGUUCUAUGAAGGGGAAACAGAACAUUUUUUUGAACUGCUUAUCAAAGUGAAUGCACCUGUAUUAUCAUGUACAAGAUAAAUUUGACCUACACUUAUAUAUAUGCACACACGCACACGCCCCCCCCAUAUAUAUACAGUAUAUAUAUAUACUGUAUAUAUAGAUAGAUAGAUAGAUAGAUAGAUAGAUAGAACACUCCAGAGGAUAGUGAAGAAUUGUCCUUUACCAUCCUCAACAAUACUUUGAGGAUUCUUUACGGGUUCUUAGAACUUGCCACAGGAGCUACUGCUCAUCUUCUGCACAGCCAUCAUUCAGUCAGUCCGCUGUUUGUCCGGAAGCUCAGCAGGGCUGAGCUUCCCUCCACCCAGGACUUGUUCAGGUCAAGGGUCAGGAAAUGUGCAGCUAUUAUCUUUGCAGACCCCACACAUCCUGGAUCCUAUAGGACCUGCCAGGCAGAACAGACCCAACUAAGCAGGCAGGACAGUAUUAAUAAAAGGAAAACUCCUAGUUUAAUCUGCCAGUGGAAUUUUGAAGUUAAUAACUGUACUGCUGGUCUUUUUCUUGGGACUAUGUGUCACUGUAAGAAUAGAAAUAAAAACUAUUAUGCUAUUAUUGGGAAAGACCUGUAAAUAAAACGAACUUUUCAAAUAUUUGAAAAGCUAAGAGUUUUUAUGGACAGAAAAGAAUUAAUGCAUACAAAACUAAAAUAUUUUCACAUUUCAUCCUGUGCUUAGUAAGUUUAUUUCUGCAAUAUGUAAAAAGCUUUUCACAGUUUCUACAAGUGAGUAAAGAGGUUCCUUUUAAUCCAGAUACAAAUGCAGCUGUGAGGAGGAAGUGAGUGUUCCACCUUUAGAGAUCAUGUUGCUUCUCUGUUGAAUAAUGUCGCCUACAUACAGCGAACCAGAGGGACUGAAAUAAUACAUGGUGCUGUCUCUGAGUGGUACUAGAUUUCUGCCACUUGUCAGAACGGGGUUUUUUCUGUUCUAAAGUGAUAAAGAACAGCUUUGCGGUUAUACUAAUGUACAGUAAAUAUGCUAGGUAGGUUGAAUUGUUGAGUUAUGCAAGGCUUUCAGCUCUCUAUAAUGGUACAAUACUCAGGAAUGUUGUGUAACAGAUUUGUCCCCCCCCCCGCCUUUCAAAGUGGACCCAUAGAUACUUUCACUGUCACUGGUCCAUUUGCAUCCAUGCACUUUAACCUUCCCUUGCAGUAUUGCAGUGAUUAAUUCACCUCUUCAGUAAAGAGAGGUAGUGAGAGUUUUUGUCUCUUUUUUUCAAACUUUUUGAUUAUAUUAAGUGUGCCAUUUUUCAGUUCAAAUUUGAAACUGGGAAUUCUGUUUUAGCCUUUGCUUGUUUUUGGCCUAAUAAAAAGAAUCCAACCAUUA